AGCAGCCGCGGUAAUUCCAGCUCCAAUAGCGUAUAUUAAAGUUGUUGCAGUUAAAAAGCUCGUAGUUGAAUUUCGGGGUUAGUAGGUUGGUCAUGCCUCUGGUAUGUACUGGUCUCACUGAUUCCUCCUUCCUGAUGAGCCUUAAUGCCAUUAAUUUGGUGUUUUGGGGAAUUUGGACUGUUACUUUGAAAAAUUAGAGUGUUUAAAGCAAGCUAACGCUUGAAUACAUUAGCAUGGAAUAAUGAAAUAGGACGUUCGAUCCUAUUUUGUUGGUUUCUAGGAUUGACGUAAUGAUUAAUAGGGAUAGUUGGGGGCAUUAGUAUUCAAUUGUCAGAGGUGAAAUUCUUGGAUUUAUUGAAGACUAACUACUGCGAAAGCAUUUGCCAAGGAUGUUUUCAUUAAUACAAGAACGAAAGUUAGGGGAUCGAAGACGAUCAGAUACCGUCGUAG
rnacentral:rRNA from 1 species